GCGAACGUUAAGCGGCGCGCCUAACACAUGCAAGUCGCACGAGAAAGGGCUUCGGCCCCCGGUACAGUGGCGCAACGGGUGAGUUAGCGCGUGGGUGACCCUCCCCGGGAGUGGUGGAUACCCCGCCGAAAGGCGGGGCUAAGACAGCAUACGAUCCGUGGUUCGAUCCAUGGAUGAGAGGCAGGCCUCUAUACAUAUGCCUGCGCUUCCCGGCUGGGGCCCGCGGCCCAUCAGCUAGUUGGUGCGGUAAACGGCGCACCAAGGCGACGACGGGUAGCUGGUCUGAGAGGAUGGGCCAGCCACACUGGAACUGAGACACGGUCCAGACUCCUACGGGAGGCAGCAGUGGGGAAUCUUGCGCAGUGGGCGCAAGCCUGACGCAGCGACGGCCGCGUGGGCGACGAAGGCCUUCGGGUUGUAAAGCCCCUGUGGGGCGGGGACGAACCGCCGCCGGUCGAACAGGCCGGCGGCCUGGACGGUACCGCCUUAGCAAGCACCGGCUAAACUCUGUGCCAGCAGCCGCGGGUAAGACAGAGGGUGCGAACGUUGCUCGGAAUCACUGGGCGUAAAGCGCGUGUAGGGCGGCGCCGCACGUCGGGUGUGAAAGCCCGGGGCUCAACCCCGGGACGUGCACCCGAAACGACGGCGCUUGAGUCCGGAAGAGGGUGGUGGAAUUCCCAGUUGUAGCGGUGAAAAUGCGUAGAUAUUGGGAGGAACACCGGUGGCGAAGGCGGCCACCUGGGCCGGAACUGACGCUGAGGCGCGAAAAGCGUGGGGAGCAAACGGGAUUAGAUACCCCGGUAGUCCACGGCCGGUAAACGAUGGGCAACUUGGUUGUCGCGGGUAUCGACCCCUGCGGUGCCGAAGCUAACGCAUUAAGUGCCCCGCCUGGGGGAGUACGGUCGCAAGGCUGAAAACUCAAAGGAAUUGACGGGGGCCCGCCACAAGCGGUUGGAGGCAUGUGGUUCAAUUCGAAGCAAACGCGAAGAAGAACCUUACCUGGGUUUUGAAGAUCAUCGGACAGGGUGCGAAAUCACCUCUUCCCGCAAGGGACUGAUGGUUAGGUGCUGCAUGGCUUGUCGUCAGCUCGUUGUCGUGAGAUGUUGGGUUAAGUCCCGCAACGAGCGCAACCCCUGUUUGCCAGUUGCCAUCGGGUAAUGCCGGGCACUCUGGUUGAGACUGCCGGUGAUAAACCGGAGGAAGGUGGGGAUGACGUCAAGUCCUCAUGGCCUCUAUGUCCAAGGCUACACACGUGCUACAAUGGCCGGUACAAACCGACGCAAGAGCGCAAGCUGGAGCAAAUCGGAAAAAGCCGGUUCUCAGUUCGGAUUGGGGUCUGCAACUCGACCCCAUGAAGCUGGAAUCGCUAGUAAUCGCGGAUCAGCACGCCGCGGUUGAAUACGUUUCCCGGGCCUUGUACACACCGCCCGUCACAUCACGAAAAGUCGGCUGUACCAGAAAGCCGGUGGGGCCAAACCCGCAAGGGAGGCAGCCGUCUAAGGUAUGGGUCGGUAAUUGGGGUG
rnacentral:rRNA from 1 species